rnacentral:rRNA from 1 species
AACAGGAUUAGAUACCCUGUAGUCCUAGCCGUAAACUAUGUAUACUUGGUGUAAUUGGAAUCAACCCCCGAUUGUGCCGUAGCUAACGCGAUAAGUAUACCGCCUGAGGAGUACGCCCGCAAGGGUGAAACUCAAAAGAAUUGACGGGGACCCGCACAAGCAGUGGAGCAUGUGGUUUAAUUCGAUGCAACGCGAAGAACCUUACCCAGGUUUGACAUGCGGAUGACAGUACUAGAGAUAGUAUCUCCCUUCGGGGCAUCUGCACAGGUGCUGCAUGGCCGCCGUCAGCUCGUGCCGUGAGGUGUUUGGUUAAGUCCAGCAACGAGCGCAACCCUUAUCAUUAGUUGCCAACACUUAGGGUGGGAACUCUAAUGAGACUGCCUGGGUUAACCAGGAGGAAGGUGAGGAUGACGUCAAGUCCGCAUGGCCCUUAUAUCUGGGGCUACACACGUGCUACAAUGGUCGGUACAGAAGGCAGCGAAGCCGAGAGGUGGAGCAAAUCCCGAAAGCCGAUCUCAGUUCAGAUUGUAGUCUGCAACUCGACUACAUGAAGACGGAAUUGCUAGUAAUGGUGGGUCAGCAACACCACCGUGAAUACGUUCCCGGGUCUUGUACACACCGCCCGUCACAUCAUGGGAGUUGGUUUUACCCGAAGCCGCUGGCUCAACCGCAAGGGGAGAGGCGUCUAAGGUAAGGCUGAUGACUGGGAUGAAGUCGUAACAAGGUAACC